rnacentral:rRNA from 1 species
AUUGAACGCUGGCGGCAGGCCUAACACAUGCAAGUCGAGCGAGCGGCGGACGGGUGAGUAAUGUCUGGGAAACUGCCUGAUGGAGGGGGAUAACUACUGGAAACGGUAGCUAAUACCGCAUACCCUCAGAUGUGCCCAGAUGGGAUUAGCUAGUAGGGGGGGUAAUGGCUCACCUAGGCGUCGAUCCGUAGCUGGUCUGAGAGGAUGACCAGCCACAUUGGAAUGGGGAAACGGUCCAGCUCCCUACGGGAGGCAGCAGUGGGGAAUAUUGGACAAUGGGCGCAAGCCUGAUGCAGACAUGCGGCGUGUGUGAAGAAGGCCUUCGGGUUGUAAAGUCCGUUCAGCGGGGAGGCGUUACCCGCAGAAGAAGCACCGGCUAACUCCGUGCCAGCAGCCGCGGUAAUUC